AUGGUACGGGAAUUAUCUAGGGAUUAUCCGGCUAACAUAUGGGCAGUGUAUCUGAACACUACACGAGCCAUGUAUGGAGGAGCGGCCGCACGCUCCGGCCGGAGCGAGACGCGGCGCGGAGGGCAGCGGACGGAGCGACGAGGCCGGCCGAAGCGAGGCGGCGCGGCGCACGCGCGGACGGACUGCCGGCGCUGCAACUGUGGUGACGAAGAGGCCGAGGCCGACGACGAGGGUGCACCGACCCGCGCAGCCGCCCGGUGGCUUGUCGGUGUCGAGUCUCCGAGCGCUACCGGAGAGACGGCGCGACGCCGCGGUGGUGAUGACGAAGGUGAGGCCGACGGUGAGGAUGUGCCCCCCCCCCCCCUUUCGGGGCUGCUCCGGGGGCGUGUCGGUGUCGAGCCCCAGAGCGCUAUCGGAGAGACGGCGCGAAUCCGCGGUGAUGAUGACAAAGAUGGUCCAGCCCGGACUGCGAAACCAGCAGCAGCGUGGUAG
rnacentral:rRNA from 1 species